rnacentral:rRNA from 1 species
CCCGAUAGAGGGGGAUACCAGUUGGAAACGACUGUUAAUACCGCAUAAUGUCUACGGACCAAAGUGUGGGACCUUCGGGCCACAUGCUAUCGGAUGCGCCUACGUGGGAUUAGCUAGUUGGUGAGGUAAUGGCUCACCAAGGCGACGAUCUCUAGCUGGUUUGAGAGGAUGAUCAGCCACACUGGAACUGAGACACGGUCCAGACUCCUACGGGAGGCAGCAGUGGGGAAUAUUGGACAAUGGGCGCAAGCCUGAUCCAGCCAUGCCGCGUGUGUGAAGAAGGCCUUCGGGUUGUAAAGCACUUUCAGCGAGGAGGAAGGGUGGUGUGUUAAUAGCACAUCAUUUUGACGUUACUCGCAGAAGAAGCACCGGCUAACUCUGUGCCAGCAGCCGCGGUAAUACAGAGGGUGCAAGCGUUAAUCGGAAUUACUGGGCGUAAAGCGCACGUAGGCGGUUUUUUAAGUCAGAUGUGAAAGCCCCGGGCUCAACCUGGGAAUUGCAUUUGAAACUGGGAAACUAGAGUGUGUGAGAGGGGGGUAGAAUUCCAAGUGUAGCGGUGAAAUGCGUAGAGAUUUGGAGGAAUACCAGUGGCGAAGGCGGCCCCCUGGCACAACACUGACGCUCAGGUGCGAAAGCGUGGGGAGCAAACAGGAUUAGAUACCCUGGUAGUCCACGCCGUAAACGAUGUCUACUAGCUGUUCGUGACCUUGUGUUGUGAGUAGCGCAGCUAACGCACUAAGUAGACCGCCUGGGGAGUACGGUCGCAAGAUUAAAACUCAAAUGAAUUGACGGGGGCCCGCACAAGCGGUGGAGCAUGUGGUUUAAUUCGACGCAACGCGAAGAACCUUACCUACUCUUGACAUCUACGGAAGACUGCAGAGAUGCGGUUGUGCCUUCGGGAACCGUAAGACAGGUGCUGCAUGGCUGUCGUCAGCUCGUGUUGUGAAAUGUUGGGUUAAGUCCCGC